UACGGAGGGGGCUAGCGUUGUUCGGAAUCACUGGGCGUAAAGCGCACGUAGGCGGCUUUGUAAGUUAGAGGUGAAAGCCCAGGGCUUAACCCUGGAAUUGCCUUUAAGACUGCAUCGCUAGAAUCGUGGAGAGGUAAGUGGAAUUCCGAGUGUAGAGGUGAAAUUCGUAGAUAUUCGGAAGAACACCAGUGGCGAAGGCGACUCACUGGACACGUAUUGACGCUGAGGUGCGAAAGCGUGGGGAGCAAACAGG
rnacentral:rRNA from 1 species